UACGAAGGGGGCUAGCGUUGCUCGGAAUCACUGGGCGUAAAGGGUGCGUAGGCGGGUCUUUAAGUCAGGGGUGAAAUCCUGGAGCUCAACUCCAGAACUGCCUUUGAUACUGGCGAUCUUGAGUCCGGGAGAGGUGAGUGGAACUCCGAGUGUAGAGGUGAAAUUCGUAGAUAUUCGGAAGAACACCAGUGGCGAAGGCGGCUCACUGGCCCGGUACUGACGCUGAUGUGCGAAAGCGUGGGGAGCAAACAGG
rnacentral:rRNA from 1 species